UACGUAGGGGGCAAGCGUUGUCCGGAUUUAUUGGGCGUAAAGAGCGUGUAGGCGGCUUGGUAGGUCCGCUGUGAAAACUCGAGGCUCAACCUCGAGAUGUCGGCGGAAACCACUUGGCUAGAGUCCGGAAGAGGAGAGUGGAAUUCCUGGUGUAGCGGUGAAAUGCGCAGAUAUCAGGAAGAACACCUAUGGCGAAGGCAGCUCGCUGGGACGGUACUGACGCUGACAGCGCGAAAGCCAGGGGAGCAAACGGG
rnacentral:rRNA from 1 species